rnacentral:lncRNA from 11 species
GCUGCCUACCUAAGGGGAUUUGGCAGCGUCGGAUGCCUACAUUCCCAGGAUGUGACACAUCAUUUUCUUUAGCAAUCACUGAUUAAAUGACUGUGCUGUGGCUUCGGUGGAAUUCUGCAGAGCCAAAGAGGGAUCCAGUUAAAGGCAUAACCUUAGGUUAGCAAAGGCAGCUUGUGUAUCAGAAGCCCAAUCUACUAGACAACAAACCCAACUUUUGUGACAAUUUUGGCAAACCAGCCAGGAGGACAUGCCAAGUUUGGUACCCAUCAGAUCACCUCCCCAAAGACAACCUGUGCUAAAGGAUGAAUUCAGAAUCCUCACAGGGGGCAGAUUGGCAGGGCCUAUAAAGACAGACCCUUCUCAGAUAAAGGUACUAAAAUCUGUCUUGAAGCUGGCUCGAGGUUGGGGUGUCAAGAAAACAUUCCCC